rnacentral:rRNA from 1 species
GUCUAGGCAUGCUGUCUAGGGGGUCAUUUGACCCCCGGCAGACGGGUGCGUAACACAUUGGUAAUCUACCUUCUUCUCGAGUAUAACCUGGAGAAAUCCGGGAUAAUCCUCGAUAGUCAUGGGGGGACGCAAGUCAUUCCCAUGUAAAGAUUUAUCGGAAGAAGAGGAGCCUAUGGCCCAUCAGCUUGUUGGUAGGGUAAAAGCCUACCAAGGCGAUGACGGGUAGCGGGUGUGAGAGCAUGGCCCGCCUCACUGGGACUGAAACACUGCCCAGACUCCUACGGGAGGCUGCAGUCAAGAAUCUUCCUCAAUGGACGAAAGUCUGAAGGAGCAAUGCCGCGUGAUCGAAGAAGCUUUUCGGAGUGUAAAGAUCUUUUAUCAGGGACGAAUUCGUGACGGUACCUGAUGAAUAAGCCACUGCUAACUUCGUGCCAGCAGCAGCGGUAAUACGAAGGUGGCAAGCGUUAUCCGGAAUAAUUGGGCGUAAAGCGUCCGCAGACUGUUUGAUAAGUCUUUUGUUAAAUCCUGAAGCUAAACUUCAGGGCCGCGAAAGAAACUAUCUUACUAGAGACUGGAAGAGGCAAGCGGAAUUACCGGUGUAGGGGUCAAAUCCGUUAAUAUCGGUAAGAACACCAAAUGCGAAGGCAGCUUGCUGGGACAGUUCUGACGUUCAGGGACGAAAGCGUGGGGAGCGAAUGGGAUUAGAUACCCCAGUAGUCCACGCCGUAAACGAUGGGUACUGAGCAUUGGGAGUAUCGACCCUCUCAGUGUUGUUUAACUAAGCUAACGCCUUAAGUACCCCGCCUGGGAAGUACGGUCGCAAGACUAAAACUCAAAGGAAUUGACGGGAACCCGCACAAGCAGUGGAGCAUGUGGUUUAAUUCGACGAUAAGCGAGGAACCUUACCAAGGCUUGACAUCCUUGGAACCCCGCAGAAAUGCGGGGGUGCCUUCGGGAACCAAGUGACAGGUGUUGCAUGGGUUGUCGUCAGCUCGUGUCGUGAGAUGUUUGGGUUAAGUCCAGUAACGAGCGCAACCCUUGUCUAUGUUACUUUACGUA